UACGAAGGGGGCUAGCGUUGUUCGGAAUUACUGGGCGUAAAGCGCGCGCAGGCGGCUAUCCAAGUCAGUGGUGAAAGCCCGGAGCUCAACUCCGGAACUGCCAUUGAAACUGUUUAGCUUGAGUAUGAGAGAGGUGAGUGGAAUUCCCAGUGUAGAGGUGAAAUUCGUAGAUAUCAGGAGGAACACCGGUGGCGAAGGCGACUACCUGGCCUAAGACUGACGCUGAGGUGCGAAAGCGUGGGGAGCGAACGGG
rnacentral:rRNA from 1 species